rnacentral:rRNA from 1 species
UACAGAGGUGGCAAGCGUUGUUCGGAAUUACUGGGCGUAAAGGGCGCGUAGGCGGCCCGUCAAGUCCCGUGUGAAAGCCCCCGGCUCAACCGGGGAACUGCACGGGAAACUAGCAGGCUUGAGUUCGGGAGAGGGAAGCGGAAUUUCGGGUGCAGCGGAUGAAUGCGCAGAUAUCCGAAGGAACACCGGUGGCGAAGGCGGCUUCCUGGACCGACACUGACGCUGAGGCGCGAAAGCUAGGGGAGCAAACGGG